AGAGUUUGAUCAUGGCUCAGAAUCAACGCUGGCGGCGUGCCUAACACAUGCAAGUCGAACGCGAAAGGGGAGCAAUCCCUGAUUAGAGUGGCAAACGGGUGAGUAACACGUGGGUGACCUGCCUUCGAGUGGGGGAUAACCUUCCGAAAGGAGGGCUAAUACCGCAUGACAUACCGUGUUUGGAUACAUGGAUAUCAAAGCCGGGGAUCGCAAGACCUGGCGCUUGAAGAGGGGCCCGCGUCCGAUUAGCUAGUUGGUGGGGUAACGGCUCACCAAGGCUCCGAUCGGUAUCCGGCCUGAGAGGGCGGACGGACACACUGGAACUGAGACACGGUCCAGACUCCUACGGGAGGCAGCAGUGGGGAAUUGUUCGCAAUGGGCGAAAGCCUGACGACGCAACGCCGCGUGGAGGAUGAAGAAUUUCGGUUCGUAAACUCCUUUCGACCGAGAUGAAUACUCACGGACCUAACACGUCCGUGAGCUGACAGUAUCGAGAGAAGAAGCCCCGGCUAACUCUGUGCCAGCAGCCGCGGUAAUACAGGGGGGGCAAGCGUUGUUCGGAAUUACUGGGCGUAAAGGGUUCGUAGGUGGCCACUUAAGUCAGACGUGAAAUCCCUCAGCUUAACUGGGGAACUGCGUCUGAUACUGCGUGGCUUGAGUGCAGGAGAGGAAUGCGGAAUUCCAGGUGUAGCGGUGAAAU
rnacentral:rRNA from 1 species